rnacentral:tRNA from 1 species
GGCUUCGUAGCUUAGCUGGUAGAGCCCUUGCCGCGUUGAGGCAUGGUGUGUCUGUCGUUGUUUGGAAUCCAGCCGAAGCCC